GCCACCCGGGUGCAAGCACCGCCCAGGGCCAGGGUCUUUGCGACUUGAGAGUUGGGCUCCUCCCUCCAGCUCGACCCUGUAACUGGGACGUACAUCUGCAUGGUGCAAAGCGACAGGAAAGUCUGAAAAGCAGAUUCUGACCAUUUGGGAGACCACAGCGGUGGCUACAUGUCCUAGGCCCUGUGGAGCUGCUUCUGAGGUUCCUCCUGAAGCUGCAUUAGAGCUACGGACCUGCGACUUUAUUUGACAUUCCGAAGAUAUCUGACAAGGAGCAAUUUGAAGACCCCAGGUUUAAGAGAAUACAGCUGACUGUGGAGAAGGGACAGCACAGUCCACCGUGACAGGAGCAUGUGCCUGGGACACCUUACACCACAAAGCUCUGAUCGGAGUCGGAGAGAUGGUUCAGCAGUUAGGAGCACGGACUGUUCUUCCAGAGGACAUGCAUGGCUUGAAUUCCUAGCACGCAUAAUGGUGGCUCAAAAGUGCCUGAGAAUGUUCUGUUCCAGGGGAUCCAACCAAUGCCCCCCUCAGACACCAGUCAUAUGAACAGUAUGGAAAGGCAGACCUGUGAGCAAAACACCCAUACACUUAAAAUUAAACAAAACAAAAAGAAUUCUAAAACAGAA